rnacentral:rRNA from 1 species
UACAGAGGGUGCGAGCGUUGUCCGGAAUCACUGGGCGUAAAGGGCGCGUAGGUGGCCCGACAAGUCACUUGGUGAAAGCUCGACGCUCAACGUCGAGUCGGCCAGUGAUACUGUUGGGCUGGAGGCACUGUAGAGGCUUCAUGGGAAUUCCGGGAUGUAGCGGUGGAAUGCGUAGAUAUCAAGAGGAACACCCUGCGGCGAAGGCGGGUUGCUGGGCUGACACUGACGCUGGAGGCGCGAAAGCUAGGGGAGCGAACGGG